CCUCUCGGGGGUAAGCGGGCAGAACUUGCAAGUAUUGGCAAGAGAUUCAGACUUGGAUUUGAUGGUUGAGUUACUUUCAUUAAGUUGUUCAUUCGUGAACUGACUGAUGUUUGUACUUUAUUCCAUUAAAAAUGUGUCGCAUUUCUCUUUGUCAUCCGGGUUGCAUGCAACUGAUUUUUGGUAGUUUAGGUACUGAGAGUCUGUGAGUCUAUCUUUUUAGAUUCAAGUCUUGGUUUUCCAACUACUAAUGCGGUUGUAAGAAAAUAGCGAACAAGCGUGUGACGCGGUCAAUUACUAUUACGAGUCGUGUAUGUAUUGUGUAUGGACGAGUAAUCGUAGUAUACUUUACGUACUGGUUGUCAGUGACAGUAAUUUUGGCAUUGUUCAGUAUUGCAAUCUAAAGCAUGCGUGGUCUGCCUGU
rnacentral:rRNA from 1 species